rnacentral:tRNA from 1 species
GCCCUUGUAGCUCAGCGGUAGAGCACUUCCUUGGUAAGGAAGAGGUCGGCGGUUCAAUCCCGCUCAAAGGCU